rnacentral:rRNA from 1 species
GACGAACGAUGGCGGCGUGCUUAACACAUGCAAGUCGAACGGAAAGGCCCUGCUUUUGUGGGGUGCUCGAGGGGCGAACGGGUGAGUAACAAGUGAGUAACCUGCCCUUGACUUUGGGAAAACUUCAGGAAACUGGGGCUAAUACCGGAUAGGAGCUCCUGCUGCAUGGUGGGGGGUGGAAAGUUUCGGCGGUUGGGGAUGGACUCGCGGCUUAUCAGCUUGUUGGUGGGGUAGUGGCUUACCAAGGCUUUGACGGGUAGCCGGCCUGAGAGGGUGACCGGCCACAUUGGGACUGAGAUACGGCCCAGACUCCUACGGGAGGCAGCAGUGGGGAAUAUUGCACAAUGGGCGGAAGCCUGAUGCAGCAACGCCGCGUGCGGGAUGACGGCCUUCGGGUUGUAAACCGCUUUCGCCUGUGACGAAGCGUGAGUGACGGUAAUGGGUAAAGAAGCACCGGCUAACUACGUG